rnacentral:tRNA from 1 species
GCCUGGGUGGCUCAGCUGGUUAAGCAUCCAAUUUUCGCUUAGGUCAUGAUCUCAUGAUUUGUGGGUUCAAGUCCCACAUCGGGCU